CGCGGUGGGCUCUGACCGGCCCGUUUGCCUUUUUCUACGUCGAAGCGCGGCCGAGGGUGAGCGUUUUGCUUUUUCGUGGGCUGGGCUUUUUUGUUUGUCUGUUUCUAUCUUGAUUUUUUGUCGGUGCGGUUUCUUCUUUUUGACAUUUGUUACAGGGAGGGGGGAGCUGCAGUCAUUUCGUCUCUAUCCAUUCCCCGCUCCCCCCCCUUUCUCUCUCUCUAUCACUUUUACCUCUGUAAAAAUGUGAAGAUCUCUGCAGCAAACGAAGGAAUUGCUGUGCUGCUCAACGUCCAGCAAGAGUAUGGGGGGCGCUGCUGAUGGACAGCACACGAGCACUGACACGGAUGAGAAAGGAAGCGACCCUGAAAAUAAAACAGACAACAGAAAUGCAGAAGGCAAAGAGCAGUGUCUUGGAGAUCCGGCGUUAGAAGAUAAAGGAUAUCAUGAAACGGAAGCAUGAGAGGGUUCACUUUGAAGUUGCUACAAUGGUUUGUAACCUUUUUCUAUAAAUAUUCAUGAUCUUUUUAGUUUUAUUAGUUGAAACAGUGGGUUAACUAGGUAACACGGGAUGUUAACUAGCUGUGUCGCCAUGUGUCCAUACUCAUGCUAAAGUUUAAACUAGCUAAUACAUGAACUUUUGUUAACUAGCUACUUAGUGCAGGGAAGUUAACCAGCCGUGUCAACAUGUCUAUGUACUCUUGUUGAAUCUAGGAAGAGGAGCAUCUGCAGGCUGCUAGUCAACUUUAGUACUGAAAAACAUCUAUAAGUGGCUCUGAUCAAUUCCAUGAACAAUGGACAGCACGGUUCUGUUUAGCUAGCUCUGAACAGCAACUCCCCUCCUCGUAUGUACAUCCAUAAUUUUUUGUA